rnacentral:lncRNA from 1 species
AUGGGGUCUGGGGAAGUUAGCAAGGGAUCUCAGGCUGGGCUGUGCACCAGUCCCCUUCCUCCCUGCACUGUUCCCGGCACUGACCUGGGCCUAUCCUUGCUGUCUCUUGCUCCUUCUGAUCCUCGCCACGAGUGCGCCGCCGCCACACUUGGUUCGGCAGACCUGCAAAGGGCCAGGGUGGGGACAGGAGGCUGCUGCAGCCGGGCGCUUGGCGCCUUCCCGACCCCGCGUCCCCUACUCCCACCAACCCCCCUUUCCGCGCCUAGCCGCCCCGGGUCCCCGCCCCCACCCUCAGAUGCCCCCAUCCCCGCCCCGCUCCCAGGUGACUCAGGGAUGAUUUCCCAUCGCUCUGAGUUGCUUUCCUGCCUUCCUGGAAACUUGCCCCUGCACCCCCACUCCAGGGGCCACUAUUUCUGUUCCCAGGAAAGCCGGGAUGUGGAGAGGGCUUGCUGGGACUCGUCGCGCUAAAUCCCUGUGCCGGCCUCUGGGGUUGGCUGGCAGCUGCCUCCCUGGCGUCAGCGCGUGGCCCUGGGGCCCUUACCUGCUCCGCUUGCUGCGGGCCUGAUGCCAACCCGCCGUGCGCAGGGGAGUGGGGAGCUGGUACCCAGACAGGAGUGACGACUGCACCGAAGGCUGCGUCGCUCUGCAGCUCGCGAUCACGUGAGCACCCCACGUCACCGCCGAGCUCGCCCCAACUCCGGCGGCCAGUGCAGC